GGUUAAGUGACUAAGCGUACACGGUGGAUGCCUAGGCAGUCAGAGGCGAUGAAGGGCGUGCUAAUCUGCGAAAAGCGUCGGUAAGGUGAUAUGAACCGUUAUAACCGGCGAUACCCGAAUGGGGAAACCCAGUGUGUUUCGACACACUAUCAUGUCAUGAAUACAUAGUGGCAUGAGGCGAACCGGGGGAACUGAAACAUCUAAGUACCCCGAGGAAAAGAAAUCAACCGAGAUUCCCCCAGUAGCGGCGAGCGAACGGGGAGGAGCCCAGAACCUGAAUCGGCUUGUGUGUUAGUGGAAGCGUCUGGAAAGUCGCGCAGCAAAGGGUGAUAGCCCCGUACACUAAAAUGCACAGGUCGUGAGUUCGAUGAGUAGGGCGGGACACGUGACAUCCUGUCUGAAUAUGGGGGGACCAUCCUCCAAGGCUAAAUACUCCUGACUGACCGAUAGUGAACCAGUACCGUGAGGGAAAGGCGAAAAGAACCCCGGCGAGGGGAGUGAAAUAGAACCUGAAACCGUGUACGUACAAGCAGUGGGAGCACCUUCGUGGUGUGACUGCGUACCUUUUGUAUAAUGGGUCAGCGACUUAUAUUUUGUAGCAAGGUUAACCGUAUAGGGGAGCCGUAGGGAAACCGAGUCUUAACUGGGCGAAUAGUUGCAAGGUAUAGACCCGAAACCCGGUGAUCUAGCCAUGGGCAGGUUGAAGGUUGGGUAACACUAACUGGAGGACCGAACCGACUAAUGUUGAAAAAUUAGCGGAUGACUUGUGGCUGGGGGUGAAAGGCCAAUCAAACCGGGAGAUAGCUGGUUCUCCCCGAAAGCUAUUUAGGUAGCGCCUCGUGAACUCAUCUUCGGGGGUAGAGCACUGUUUCGGCUAGGGGGCCAUCCCGGCUUACCAAACCGAUGCAAACUCCGAAUACCGAAGAAUGUUAUCACGGGAGACACACGGCGGGUGCUAACGUCCGUCGUGAAGAGGGAAACAACCCAGACCGCCAGCUAAGGUCCCAAAGUCAUGGUUAAGUGGGAAACGAUGUGGGAAGGCAUAGACAGCCAGGAUGUUGGCUUAGAAGCAGCCAUCAUUUAAAGAAAGCGUAAUAGCUCACUGGUCGAGUCGGCCUGCGCGGAAGAUGUAACGGGGCUAAACCAUGCACCGAAGCUGCGGCAGCGACGCUUAGGCGUUGUUGGGUAGGGGAGCGUUCUGUAAGCCGUUGAAGGUGGCCUGUGAGGGUUGCUGGAGGUAUCAGAAGUGCGAAUGCUGACAUAAGUAACGAUAAAGCGGGUGAAAAGCCCGCUCGCCGGAAGACCAAGGGUUCCUGUCCAACGUUAAUCGGGGCAGGGUGAGUCGACCCCUAAGGCGAGGCUGAAAAGCGUAGUCGAUGGGAAACAGGUUAAUAUUCCUGUACUUGGUGUUACUGCGAAGGGGGGACGGAGAAGGCUAGGCUAGCCGGGCGACGGUUGUCCCGGUUUAAGCGUGUAGGGGGUGUGACCUGGUAAAUCCGGUUGCAUAUCAACCCUGAGGCGUGAUGACGAUGCACUACGGUGCAGAAGUAGUUGAUGCCCUGCUUCCAGGAAAAUCCUCUAAGCUCCAGGUAACAUUAAAUCGUACCCCAAACCGACACAGGUGGUCAGGUAGAGAAUACCAAGGCGCUUGAGAGAACUCGGGUGAAGGAACUAGGCAAAAUGGUGCCGUAACUUCGGGAGAAGGCACGCUGGCAUGUAGGUGAAGUCCCUCGCGGAUGGAGCUGAAGCCAGUCGAAGAUACCAGCUGGCUGCAACUGUUUAAUAAAAACACAGCACUGUGCAAACACGAAAGUGGACGUAUACGGUGUGACGCCUGCCCGGUGCUGGAAGGUUAAUUGAUGGGGUCAGCCGCAAGGCGAAGCUCUUGAUCGAAGCCCCAGUAAACGGCGGCCGUAACUAUAACGGUCCUAAGGUAGCGAAAUUCCUUGUCGGGUAAGUUCCGACCUGCACGAAUGGCGUAAUGAUGGCCAGGCUGUCUCCACCCGAGACUCAGUGAAAUUGAACUCGCUGUGAAGAUGCAGUGUACCCGCGGCAAGACGGAAAGACCCCGUGAACCUUUACUAUAGCUUGACACUGAACAUUGAGCCUUGAUGUGUAGGAUAGGUGGGAGGCUUUGAAGCGUGGACGCCAGUCUGCGUGGAGCCAUCCUUGAAAUACCACCCUUUAAUGUUUGAUGUUCUAACUCGGCCCCAUAAUCUGGGGUGAGGACAGUGUCUGGUGGGUAGUUUGACUGGGGCGGUCUCCUCCCAAAGAGUAACGGAGGAGCACGAAGGUUAGCUAAUCACGGUCGGACAUCGUGAGGUUAGUGCAAAGGCAUAAGCUAGCUUGACUGCGAGAGUGACGGCUCGAGCAGGUACGAAAGUAGGUCUUAGUGAUCCGGUGGUUCUGAAUGGAAGGGCCAUCGCUCAACGGAUAAAAGGUACUCCGGGGAUAACAGGCUGAUACCGCCCAAGAGUUCAUAUCGACGGCGGUGUUUGGCACCUCGAUGUCGGCUCAUCACAUCCUGGGGCUGAAGUAGGUCCCAAGGGUAUGGCUGUUCGCCAUUUAAAGUGGUACGCGAGCUGGGUUUAGAACGUCGUGAGACAGUUCGGUCCCUAUCUGCCGUGGGCGUUGGAAGAUUGAGAGGGGUUGCUCCUAGUACGAGAGGACCGGAGUGAACGCACCACUGGUGUUCGGGUUGUCAUGCCAAUGGCAUUGCCCGGUAGCUAAGUGCGGAAAAGAUAAGCGCUGAAAGCAUCUAAGCGCGAAACUUGCCUCAAGAUGAGUCUUCCCUGGGCCUUUAAGGUCCCUGAAGGAACGUUUAAGACUAAGACGUUGAUAGGCUGGGUGUGUAAGUGCAGCGAUGCAUUGAGCUAACCAGUACUAAUGAUCCGUGAGGCUUAACCUU
rnacentral:rRNA from 1 species